CUAUGAUUGUGACCCCAUACUUUAGAUUACAUUGAUGUCAUUAUUGGCAGUGGCUGGGGAUCCGGUUAGUCAAAAUAAUUCGACGUUCAGAUUGUUUUAUAUUUGUGACGGGCAAUCAAAACGUCAAACUUUGAAAGACGAAAAUAAUGGAAGAUAAAUCACAGUACACAGUCAUUUAAAGAUAUUGGUUUUAUCGCUUGCGAGUAUUGGCGUGUAGUCUUCUGUAGACAGGGUAAAUGUUAAUUGUGUACAGCAGGCUACAUACAUAGGUUUAAAUCACCAGAAAAUUCGUAAUUUUGGAUAUUAUUUGGUAAUUUUGGCAUAAAUCAAUGAGGAAUUGAAUCCCCUUUCAAUACAUGGAACUGAAAGGUGGACUUGGGGAAAUGAAGUUGCAGUCUAUGGUCCUGUUUGCCCUGUGUUGUAGGACAAAAUCUGAAGAAGCUUCUUCUCUGCACAUCAACUGAAAUUAAGAAGAUGUUUGAGAACAUCAAAAAUGACAGUCAAAAUACAGCAAUGGAAAAUAAGACUGCUGGUUGUCCAAGAGUGACAUUAACCCCAUCAUAAAUUACCUUCUUGAAAAACAAAAAAAAGACAGACUGAGAGGAAGGGUUUCAAUGAUGGCACAGACUCUAUUAUAGGUCUACCAGCUACCCCAACCAAAGAAGUUUCUGUAAAGAAAGGAGUACUUCCAACCCAGCUCUGUUUCGUUAUACUGUGCAUAUGGCAGAAGUGGUAUAAGGAAAUAAUAUAAUUGACAGCAACAACAACAAAAAAUUAUGAAUUUUUCCAUUGAUUGGUGGUGGAGGGGAUAAUAUUGUUGUCAGUUUGAGAAGUAGAAGAAAAAGUAAAUGACUCGGAUCAAAGACCUUUUCUGAACAGAUUGAGAAAACAGAAGUCUACAAAACAGAUCAAAGAUGAUAAAAAGGACGAUGUUUAUGCUCUGGAAAGAAAAAGAUGCUGUUUGAAAUAGAGGACAUUAAGUAAAA
rnacentral:lncRNA from 1 species